UACGUAGGGACCAAGCGUUGUUCGGAUUUACUGGGCGUAAAGCGUGCGCAGGCGGUUUUGUAAGCCAGAUGUGAAAUCCCCGGGCUCAACCUGGGAACUGCAUUUGGGACUGCAAGGCUAGAGUACGGCAGAGGGGGGUAGAAUUCCUGGUGUAGCAGUGAAAUGCGUAGAUAUCAGGAGGAAUACCGAUGGCGAAGGCAGCCCCCUGGGUCGAUACUGACGCUCAUGCACGAAAGCGUGGGGAGCAAACAGG
rnacentral:rRNA from 1 species